AGUGAACGCUGGCGGCGUGCCUAAUACAUGCAAGUCGAACGGAGAUUAAGUAGCUUGCUAUUUAAUCUUAGUGGCGCACGGGUGAGUAAUAUAUAGCUAAUCUGCCCUACACUAGAGGACAACAGUUGGAAACGACUGCUAAUACUCUAUACUCCUUCUUUACAUAAGUUAAGUCGGGAAAGUUUUUCGGUGUAGGAUGAGGCUAUAUCGUAUCAGCUAGUUGGUAGGGUAACGGCCUACCAAGGCUAUGACGCGUAACUGGUCUGAGAGGAUGAUCAGUCACACUGGAACUGAGACACGGUCCAGACUCCUACGGGAGGCAGCAGUAGGGAAUAUUGCUCAAUGGGGGAAACCCUGAAGCAGCAACGCCGCGUGGAGGAUGACACUUUUCGGAGCGUAAACUCCUUUUCUUGGGAAAGAAUUAUGACGGUACCCAAGGAAUAAGCACCG
rnacentral:rRNA from 1 species